AUUAAGAUUGGUUCCUCAUCAGGACUGUCCAACGGUGAAAGAACAGUUUCCAUGAAAACGUGACUUGCAGCAAUUUCUUGAAGAUAUUUUUGUUUUAAUUCACUACUAACCAUGCUUUGCUCCAUCAUCAAACUUUUUUCAAAAGCUCCACGAUCACGCAUGUUUCGCCAAAAGCGAUAAAUAGUAGUACCUGACAUCCUUCGAAGGAUCAUUUGAUAAUCCCCAGUUUCAUAUUCAGCAUUAAUCGUUAUCACACAACCACGAUAAAGCCAAGAUUUAGAACUACUGUUAAAAUGAAAUCUUGAAUCA